rnacentral:rRNA from 1 species
AUUGAACGCUGGCGGCAUGCCUAACACAUGCAAGUCGAACGAGUGGCGGACGGGUGAGUAAUGUCUGGGAACUUGCCUGAUGGAGGGGGAUAACUACUGGAAACGGUAGCUAAUACCGCAUACCAUCGGAUGUUCCCAGGUGGGAUUAGCUAGUAGGUGGGGUAACGGCUCACCUAGGCAACGAUCCCUAGCUGGUCUGAGAGGAUGACCGGCCACACUGGAACUGAGACACGGUCCAGACUCCUACGGGAGGCAGCAGUGGGGAAUAUUGCACAAUGGGCGAAAGCCUGAUGGAGCCAUGCCGCGUGUGUGAAGAAGGCCUUCGGGUUGUAAAGUACUUUCAGUGGGGAGGCGUUACCCGCAGAGGAAGCACCGGCUAACUACGUGCCAGCAGCCGCGGUAAUAC